rnacentral:rRNA from 2 species
UGACCUCAAAUCAGGUAGGAACACCCGCUG